CCUACGGGUGGCAGCAGUGAGGAAUAUUGGUCAAUGGUCGUAAGACUGAACCAGCCAAGUAGCGUGCAGGAUGACGGCCCUAUUGGUUGUAAACUGCUUUUAUGCGGGGAUAAAAUGCGUCACGUGUGAUGUUUUGUAGGUACCGCAUGAAUAAGGCCCGGCCAAUUCCGUGCCAGCAGCCGCGGUAAUACGUAGGGUCCGGGCGUUGUCCGGAUUUAUUGGGUGUAAAGGGAGCGUAGGCUGCAUUUUAAGCUUGCCGUGAAAUGCACGGGCGCAACCAUGAGACUGCUGUGGGAACUGGAUUGCUUGAGUGCGGGGGAGGUAAGCGGAAUUCGGGGUGUAGCGGUGAAAUGCGUAGAUAUAAGGAGGAACACCAGUGGCGAAGGCAGAUUGCGGGAGCGCAACUGACGCUGAGGCGCGAAGGCGCGGGGAGCGAACAGGAUUAGAUACCCUGGUAGUC
rnacentral:rRNA from 1 species